rnacentral:rRNA from 1 species
AGACGAAGGUGGCGAGCGUUGUUCGGAAUUACUGGGCGUAAAGGGCGCGUAGGUGGUUAGGUCAGUCGGAUGUGAAAGCCCCGGGCUCAACCUGGGAAUGUCAUUCGAUACUGCCUGACUAGAGUAUGGUAGAGGGAAGUGGAAUUUCCGGUGUAGCGGUGAAAUGCGUAGAUAUCGGAAGGAACACCAGUGGCGAAGGCGACUUCCUGGGCCAAUACUGACGCUGAGGUGCGAAAGCGUGGGGAGCAAACAGGAUUAGAAACCCCAGUAGUCC